GACUGGGAUAACCCUGGGAAACUGGGGCUAAUACCGGAUAGGCAAUUAUUCCUGCAAUGGUUUUUUGUUUAAAUGUUUUUUCGCCUAAGGAUGGGUCUGCGGCCGAUUAGGUAGUUGGUUAGGUAAUGGCUUACCAAGCCGUUGAUCGGUACGGGUUGUGAGAGCAAGAGCCCGGAGAUGGAACCUGAGACAAGGUUCCAGGCCCUACGGGGUGCAGCAGGCGCGAAACCUCCGCAAUGUGAGAAAUCGCGACGGGGGGAUCCCAAGUGCCAUUCUUAACGGGAUGGCUUUUCAUUAGUGUAAAGAGCUUUUGGAAUAAGAGCUGGGCAAGACCGGUGCCAGCCGCCGCGGUAACACCGGCAGCUCUAGUGGUAACAAUUUUUAUUGGGCCUAAAGCGUCCGUAGCCGGUUUAAUAAGUCUCUGGUGAAAUCCUGUAGCUUAACUGUGGGAAUUGCUGGAGAUACUAUUAGACUUGAGACCGGGAGAGGUUAGAGGUACUCCCAGGGUAGAGGUGAAAUUCUGUAAUCCUGGGAGGACCGCCUGUUGCGAAGGCGUCUAACUGGAACGGUUCUGACGGUGAGGGACG
rnacentral:rRNA from 1 species